AUAGCGUAUAUUAAAGUUGUUGCGGUUAAAAAGCUCGUAGUUGAACCUUGGGCCUAGCCGGCCGGUCCGCCUCACCGCGUGCACUGGCUCGGUUGGGCCUUUCCUUCUGGAGAACCGCAUGCCCUUCACUGGGUGUGCUGGGGAACCAGGACUUUUACUCUGAACAAAUUAGAUCGCUUAAAGAAGGCCUAUGCUCGAAUACAUUAGCAUGGAAUAAUAGAAUAGGACGUGCAGUUCUAUUUUGUUGGUUUCUAGGACCGCCGUAAUGAUUAAUAGGGACAGUCGGGGGCAUCAGUAUUCAAUCGUCAGAGGUGAAAUUCUUGGAUUGAUUGAAGACUAACUACUG
rnacentral:rRNA from 1 species